rnacentral:misc_RNA from 1 species
UGGUUCUGGCAUCGAUGAAGAACGCAGCAAAAUGCGAUAAGUAGUGUGAAUUGCAGAAUUCAGUGAAUCAUCGAAUCUUUGAACGCACAUUGCGCCCUUUGGUAUUCCUUAGGGCAUGCCUGUUCGAGCGUCAUCUAUAAACUCAAGCGCAGCUUGGUGUUGGGCGCCUGUCCCGCCUCCGGCGCGGACUCGCCUCGAAACGAUUGGCGGCCCCUUUGGCGGUUCCGAGCGCAGCAGAAUUGCGUCUCGGGCGGCGGAACGGUGGCUCCCAGAAACAACCCCCCCAAGUUUGACCUCGGAUCAGGUAGGGAUACCCGCUGA